rnacentral:rRNA from 1 species
UAGUCCACGCCGUAAACGAUGGUUGCUAACAGUUUGAGGAUUCGACCCCUUGAGUUGUAAAGCUAACGCGUUAAGCAACCCGCCUGGGGAGUACGAUCGCAAGAUUAAAACUCAAAGGAAUAGACGGGGACCCGCACAAGCGGUGGAGCGUGUUCUUUAAUUGGAUGAUACGCCAAGAACCUUACCAAGGCUUGACAUCUUCGGAAUUUCUACGAAAGUAGAGAGUGCUUUUGAACCGAAUGACAGGUGUUGCAUGGCCGUCGUCAGCUCGUGUCGUGAGAUGUUAGGUUAAGUCCUUCAACGAGCGCAACCCUUAUGUUUAGUUGUAUUUUUCUAGACAGACUGCCUCGGCAACGGGGAGAAGGAGGGGAUGGACGUCAGGUCCGUAUUGCCCUUAGCCUUGGGCUAGAAACGCGCUACAAUGGCCGGUACAAUGGGCAGCGAAACAGUAAUGUGGAGCAAAGUCCUAUCAAAGCCGGUACUCAGUUCGGAUUGAAGGCUGAAAUUCGCCUUCAUGAAGUUGGAAUCGCUAGUAACG